rnacentral:rRNA from 1 species
UGCCAGACUCCUACGGGAGGCAGCAGUGAGGAAUAUUGGUCAAUGGGCGGAAGCCUGAACCAGCCAAGUCGCGUGAGGGAAGAAGGCCCUGCGGGUCGCAGACCUCUUUGGACGGGGAGCAAGGCCGCCGACGUGUCGGCGGAAGGAGAGUACCCGUAGAACAAGCAUCGGCUAACUCCGUGCCAGCAGCCGCGGUAAUACGGGGGAUGCAAGCGUUAUCCGGAUUUAUUGGGUUUAAAGGGUGCGUAGGCUGUGAGGUAAGUCAGCGGUGAAAUGCCCCCGCUCAACGGGGUGAAGUGCCAUUGAUACUGCCUUGCUGGAAUGCGGAUGCCGUGGGAGGAAUGUGUGGUGUGGCGGUGAAAUGCAUAGAUAUCACACAGAACACCGAUUGCGAAGGCAUCUCACGAAUCCGCGAUUGACGCUGAUGCACGAAAGCGUGGGUAUCAAACAGGAUUAGAUACCCUCGUACA